rnacentral:rRNA from 1 species
CCCUUAGAUGUUCUGGGCCGCACGCGCGCUACACUGAUGCAUUCAACGAGUCCAACCUUGACCGAGAGGUCCGGGUAAUCUUUGAAACUGCAUCGUGAUGGGGCUAGAUUAUUGCAAUUAUUAAUCUUCAACGAGGAAUGCCUAGUAAGCGUGAUUCAUCAAAUCGCGUUGAUUACGUCCCUGCCCUUUGUACACACCGCCCGUCGCUCCUACCGAUUGAGUGUGUUGGUGAGGAGUUUGGAUUGGCCUCGGAAGGUGGUUCGCCACCGUCCGUAGCUGAGAAGUUCUCCAAACCGCCCCACUUAGAGGAAGGAGAAAUCGUAACA